rnacentral:rRNA from 1 species
GUAAGGAAUAUUGGUCAAUGGGCGGAAGCCUGAACCAGCCAUGCCGCGUGCAGGAAGACGGCCUUAUGGGUUGUAAACUGCUUUUAUACGGGAGUAAACUAACCUACGUGUAGGAUAUUGCAAGUACCGUAUGAAUAAGCAUCGGCUAACUCCGUGCCAGCAGCCGCGGUAAUACGGAGGAUGCAAGCGUUAUCCGGAUUCAUUGGGUUUAAAGGGUGCGUAGGCUGGCGCUAUAAGUCAGGGGUGAAAAGCAUAGGCUCAACUUAUGCACUGCCUUUGAUACUGUAGUCCUAGAGUGCAAAUGAGGUUGGCGGAAUGUGUAGUGUAGCGGUGAAAUGCAUAGAUAUUACACAGAACACCGAUAGCGAAGGCAGCUAACCAAGAUGCAACAGACGCUGAGGCACGAAAGCGUGGGGAUCAAACAGGAUUAGAUACCCUGGUAGUCC